rnacentral:rRNA from 1 species
GGCUUAGAGUUUGAUCAUGGCUCAGGAUGAACGCUGGCGGCGUGCCUAACACAUGCAAGUCGAGCGAAGCACUUAACUUUGAUCCUUCGGGUGAAGAGUUCUGUGACUGAGCGGCGGACGGGUGAGUAACACGUAGGUAACCUGCCUCACACAGGGGGAUAACAGUUAGAAAUGACUGCUAAUACCGCAUAAGCGCACAGGGCCGCAUGGCCCGGUGUGAAAAGCUCCGGCGGUGUGAGAUGGACCUGCGUCUGAUUAGCCAGUUGGCGGGGUAACGGCCCACCAAAGCGACGAUCAGUAGCCGGCCUGAGAGGGUGGACGGCCACAUUGGGACUGAGACACGGCCCAGACUCCUACGGGAGGCAGCAGUGGGGAAUAUUGCACAAUGGGGGAAACCCUGAUGCAGCGACGCCGCGUGAGCGAAGAAGUAUCUCGGUAUGUAAGGCUCUAUCAGCAGGGAAGAAAAUGACGGUACCUGACUAAGAAGCACCGGCUAAAUACGUGCCAGCAGCCGCGGUAAUACGUAUGGUGCAAGCGUUAUCCGGAUUUACUGGGUGUAAAGGGAGCGUAGACGGAGAAGCAAGUCUGGAGUGAAAACCCGGGGCUCAACCCCGGGACUGCUUUGGAAACUGUUUUUCUAGAGUGCCGGAGAGGUAAGCG